AGAUGUUUUUGGUAUGUUUAGAAACUUGUCUGUGUCAGUUUCUGAUUGGGUGGAAGAAAAAUAAAUAUUUUUUUUUUUGUUAUUUAAUUUUCUCUCUCGUUUCUCCCUUGAUCCCAUCGACUUCCAUAUCAUCUCCGCAGAAAAGACGACGAUAGAAUUGAAGGUCAUUCAGUUGGAUAUUGGAUUUGACCGGCGGCAUCACAUCUCCACCGUAAGAGACACCAUCGACGAUCUCGGUUCAUCAAUUCGAUCGCGAUUUGGUUGAAUAAAUCGGAUAUUUGGUUGCUUUUUCUCUCUCGUCUGUGUUUAUAUGAUUGUUCGCUUAGCUCCGAGUUUCUCUGGAUUUGAAAUAUACGAGUUCGCUGCUCUGGAUUUCGUUUUAUCUUUCCGAUUUGUACUCUGAGAUUUUUGUAUGUUUGUUUGUUUCCUACGUCUUUUUGUACAAUUUGACUUUCAAUUUUGAGAUUGAUUUCGUAGAACACUCGCUUUGUAGAAUGUGCUGAGAUAGCUUAAUAAAUGUAGCCUGUGAUGUUUUAUUAUUCUAAUCUGUAGGUGAAGUUUUCGCUUACUUGUGUUGUGACAUUCAGAUUUACAUGUGCGAGCCAGAGUUGCUUCAGUUUGGUUAUUCUGGAAUUGAUUGAUCAGUACGAGAAAGUUGAGAAGAUUGGUGAAGGAACUUACGGUGUGGUUUAUAAGGCACGAGACAAAGUGACCAAUGAGACUAUCUAUCUAUAGCUUUGAAGAAGAUCCGGCUUGAGCAGGAGGAUGAAGGCGGCGUGCCUAGCACAGCAAAUUAGAGAAAAUCUCCGUGCUCCGUGGAAUUGCGUAUUGCCACUCUCACAGAGUUCUCCAUCGUGAUCUACAGCCACAUAAUUUGUUGAUUGAUCGCCCCCACCAACUCACUAAAGCUUGCAGAUUUUAUUUAGACUGACCAGAGCAUUUGGUAUCCCUGUCAGGACGGUUACUCAUGCGGUGCCAAAGAGCUUAAUUCUUUGUUCAUAUGUUUCUGUAAUGAAAUCUUUGGCAUGGGCUUCAUAUUUGCUUCAUUCCUCAAGGGUAAAGAACCACUUACGUAUCUGAUAUAUACGUUAAUAAAGGACUAAGAAAUUUCAGAUAGACGGUCGAAUAAUGUUAGAUUCGAGAUAUUCAUAAUAAGUUUCAGUGCUAGAUUCAGA